rnacentral:lncRNA from 1 species
GGGGUCACAUGAGCUCAAAAACUAGGUCACUAUAUCAAAUAAUAGAAAAAAUGACGUCAUACUCAAAACUGGGUCAUGUGGGAACAGAUGAGCGAUUCAGGACCAUCAUGGUCCUCUUGUUAAUAUGGACAGGACGUACAGCAUAAAACAUAUCACAGAUAAAAUCAUUGGCUUUCUAAUGGUAUCUCAAUGCUGAAGAAAAUUGCCUUCAGAUAGCGAGAAAAUUUGAAAACCUCAAAUUUUUACAUAGAGAAAUGAACAAAAAAUACAUGUUUGUGAAUGUGAUAAAACUUACAUAAUGCUACAGUCUUUCAGAACCAUACUUGAAAUGGUUCUAUUCAGUUCUGUUAGUUAAUACUUUUUCAGUGAAGGGUAUUAGAAUGCUCAGAUGUUCUGAUGUACUUGUGGGGGAAGAUGGGUUUCAUUUGAGAACAAUACCACAAAAUUCUUCACUACUUUCACAUGCUAGUUUUGUAGUUUUGUAAAACAUGUUUUGUAAAUAUUUUAAUGGGAUUAAAGCUGGUGCUCAAACAAAAAUACCAAUACGAAAUGCACAUAAUGGUACCUUGGUAAAUAAAACAUUUAUUUGGUUCCCCCCCCCCCUCUCUCCAACCAACAAAGAGGUGGCAUAUUGUUGAUUGUUGUGCAUAUUGCUUGUCUGUUGGUCGGUUGGUGAGUCUGUCAGUCAGUAGACAAUUUAAAUUUCAGUCAAUAAAUAAGGGUAUGAUAGAGCUGCCUGAAGUCAGUAGAGGACCCAUAUUGUUUUAGGGGUUAGUAGGUCAAAGGUCAAAAUACCAGUGACCUCAAGUCUGAUCAUUAUCUGGAGAAUAAGUUGGCCUCUGGUGUAAAUAACAUCAUAGGAUGAUUAUGCGUGUAGUCAGUAAAUGACCCCGGCUGUUGUUGAAGUCAUUAGGUCAAGGUCACAGCAUGUAGUCAGUAAAUGACCCCGGCUGUUGUUGAAGUCAUUAGGUGAAGGUCACAGCAUAUAGUCAGUAAAUGACCCCGGCUGUUGUCGAAGUCAUUAGGUCAAGGUCACAGCAUGUAGUCAGUAAAUGACCCCGGCUGUUGUUGAAGUCAUUAGGUGAAGGUCACAGCAUAAAAAUUGCCCCGAACAGGCCAUCAAGUUGGGCAUAUUUGUUUUACAAACAGCUCUUGUUUGAUAAAAAACUUUCGAAAUUAUUGAUCAGUGGUAAAAGGUUUCAGCAUCUUGGUGCAGAAUAUUAAUUUUGAGCAUAGCUUCGGAUAGUCAGAAAAGCAUGCAUUAUAAUACAGACCUGCUAUUCAACACAAAGCGCAAGGUCCUUUUCCUGUGUUAGCAUAAUGUCUGUCUACUUAUUUCAAGUCCCAAUAUCUAGCGCUAAUAAAGAUGGAAUAGAGAAAGGUUAAAUAAUGUCAGCAGUUUGUACAAGUUGUGCAUCUAAGUUUUAGACAAAAUCCCCCAAAAUGCAUUCUUUGUUUGUUAUAUGCAGUGUGAAGUAUAUGGUGUGAUUGAUCAUACAUUUGUUUUCCUGUAAACUGUUUAGUACAUAAUACCUGUAUGUAUACCUUAUAAUGUAGAUAGUGUUACUUCUAGUGUACAGCAGCUAUAUUUGUUAAUGCUCGUUUAUUACGUAUAUAUGUAAAUAUCGCUGUCUCAAAGCUUAAUCUUUACAGUGUUUUAGCAGAUUUUACACUGUAGAUAAUAGAAUUAUGUAUCUUACUGAAAUAAACUGUAUUUGUUGAGUUGUAA